rnacentral:rRNA from 1 species
AGUGAACGCUGGCGGUAGGCCUAACACAUGCAAGUCGAACGGCAGCACAGGAGAGCUUGCUCUCUGGGUGGCGAGUGGCGGACGGGUGAGGAAUACAUCGGAAUCUACUUUUUCGUGGGGGAUAACGUAGGGAAACUUACGCUAAUACCGCAUACGACCUACGGGUGAAAGCAGGGGAUCUUCGGACCUUGCGCGAUUGAAUGAGCCGAUGUCGGAUUAGCUAGUUGGCGGGGUAAAGGCCCACCAAGGCGACGAUCCGUAGCUGGUCUGAGAGGAUGGUCAGACACACUGGAAAUGAGACACGGUCCAGACUCCUACGGGAGGCAGCAGUGGGGAAUAUUGGACAAUGGGCGCAAGCCUGAUCCAGCCAUACCGCGUGGGUGAAGAAGGCCUUCGGGUUGUAAAGCCCUUUUGUUGGGAAAGAAAUCCAGCUGGUUAAUACCCGGUUGGGAUGACGGUACCCAAAGAAUAAGCACCGGCUAACUUCGUGCCAGCCGCCGCCGUAA